UACGUAGGGCGCAAGCGUUAUCCGGAAUUAUUGGGCGUAAAGAGCUCGUAGGCGGUUUGUCGCGUCUGCCGUGAAAGUCCGGGGCUCAACUCCGGAUCUGCGGUGGGUACGGGCAGACUAGAGUGUGGUAGGGGGAGACUGGAAUUCCUGGUGUAGCGGUGGAAUGCGCAGAUAUCAGGAGGAACACCGAUGGCGAAGGCAGGUCUCUGGGCCAUUACUGACACUGAGAAGCGAAAGCAUGGGGAGCGAACAGG
rnacentral:rRNA from 1 species